UAUAUAUUUUAAACAUAUAAAGAAUCUAGAAAUGUCACUAUGGAAGAAAGGAAAAUUAAAGCUACGCGGAAUACUAUUUUCACUAGUGUGUCACACAAGACAGGGUACCAGAUACUCUAUCUUUGCAUGGUGCUGAACUAUCACAAAAGCAGAUGGGUCAAAGAAAUGCUUAACGUAUUUUUUUUAUGUUUCACAUCCCUAUGCAUUUAAACAUGCUGUUCCUUCUGCAUAGAAUGUUCUCUGGCCCUUUGUCUUAUAGAUUUACAUCUAACUCCAACUCACCCAUUAAACUCAGCUCGUCUCCCUUUCUCCAGGAAGCCUUCCUUAGUUUACCAUCAUGACCAUCCUAGUCCUAUUAAUCUCUCUUCUAGUCUUCUGUGUAAUCUCUUUUUGUUGUUUUUUAAAUUUGAUCAUAUCCUUGUCUCAUUGAUUUCGGUCAUUGAUUUACUUGUUCCUUUUCCCAUCUACUCUGUGAGAGCGCCAAGUCUAAUUUGAUUUUGCGUUCCCAAGGCCUAGCUCAUUGGAAGUACUCAAAGAUUCUUUGUUGGAUGUAUGAAUGAAGAACUUGUUACUUCACUCGGAGAUUAUACAUAGUUGGUUUAGCCACGCUAGGUUAUGUGCUAAGCACUCUCCACUGGGAGGCAGUGUUGUGCAGUGAAAAGCUCUUAGCUUCGCAAGCAGAAAGCCAGGGUUUCCACAACAGUUCUGCCUCCUCCUACCUGCCCGUCCCUGGGCCAUGCACAAUCUUGAGAUGCUGACAAGAUGGGAAGAAUGAGAAGAAUAUUUUUCUUACAGAAUUUUUGAGAGGAUUAUAGAUAAUGUAGCUAGGUAAUUUAGGUAAACUAUCCAGAAUACGAUAGAUGCAUUUAUCAUAAGGUAGCUCUUGAUUACUUGUUUAUAAUAAUAAGCACAAUUGCAGAUAAAGGCCUAGAUCAAAGGCGUGAUCUUCAUAACCAUACUGCAAAUGAUCCUCACUCGAAAAGCUACCAGCCCAGCUCUCACCUCUGUCAGAGGGACCACGGUUGGAAGCCUAGGGUUCAAAGGUUUUCGGGGCUCCAUAGGACUAGGAGUUCCACUGGGGCUUAAGCAAGUCAAGGGCUUGAGGGACUAUUAUUGCCAGGCCCUGGUUCAGCUGCAUGUGCAUUAAAUAGAUUUUUGUACACUGGCCUGGGAAACAAGCCACCAUCUAUAAUUCUGUUUCUAUGGGGAAAGGCUUUCUGUGUUCCAAACAACCAACUUACUAAUGAACUCCUGGAACACAACCUAUUUGUCGACGGGGACCGGCUGACUGGGUUUACAUGGCUGAGCCAGCCGCCUGAGCGACUGCACAGUGUUGAUCUAAUUAUAAUGAAUUCUCUACGGUGACUAAUCGAGCUGUGGUCUCCACAAUUGAAGAGGAAUUUUGAAAAAUUGGAGAGCAUUCUACAGAGAACCACAAAGAUGAUGAAGGACUGAAGGAAAAUCUGGCCUCUGUAGUUUUAAGAGGACUGCAGAAACCACCCAUGUAAUAAUCCUCUCAAAUGAAAAAAAAAGUGUUUGAUUCUUUACCGUGUCAAGUGCAUUUAUUAUUUGCAAAUUGACAAGGAAUUAAUUCGUACAGAAGGGAACCAGUGUUUGUGGAGGGCCCAUAUCAGGCCAUCAAAUACUUCACGGGCCUUUUAUACACAUUAUUUAAACAUAUCCUUAUGACCAUCCUCCCAGAUAGACAUCAUUAUGUCUAUUUCACAGAUAGGGAGACUGAUUUUCAGUGAGAUUAAUUUGUCAAAAAUCUGAUAGCUGAUCAUGCAUAACGUAGAUUCAAAUGCGGGCCAGAUUAAUUCCAAAGACCCUCUAACCCAUUUUCUACAUUGCAGCCAGAGGGAACUUUUUGAAGCAUAAACUUGAUAAUAAUGUCCUUCUCCUGCAGAAAACAUUUCCAUGGUCCCGCUCUGCUCCUGGGAUAAAACUCCAGCCGAAGGGACCCUGAGUGUCUUGCCUCCCGUACACCACCCUUGUCUCCUGCCAUCACCUGCCGUCACCUCGUUCCCUCAGCCCCACUGCUGUGUCCAGAUAUCUUUCCGUUUGUGACUCCUCCCUCUGCUUCAGGCUUCCCAGCCUUCACACACACAGGAAAGGCUUUCCUGCUUUUCCUCUUCUGUUGACCAACUUUGUCCUCUUCACCCUGUGGAUCUCAGCUUGUACAUGCCUUCCUUUGGAGGCCUUCCCUGUACCUCCACGUACAGGCUAAUCAACCCUUCUCCAUGAUCUCCCUGCAUAUCACAGUAUUUACCACUGCAUCGUAACUGCAUGUUACAGUUUAGCCUUAAAUACCACCCCCACCACACACACACACACACACACACACACACACACGUACACAUCUUACUCAAUAAUUAUUUGUUAAACAAAUGUCAAGCGACCAUAUCACAAGUUAUUUUUACAAACAAUAGUUAAAAUAUUGACAUUUACAAAACAUUUACCUUUAAAAAAAAAAGAAAAAAGAGGAUUUGAGGUUAUCCUGAUCAUAACAUGGCUCUCCCUUGUUUUCCAGUGUGUUUUCUUGAAAGGAAGGAAAGAAAGACAGCUGCCAGUAGGAUGCUGGGUGCUGGGUAAAACGUUCGCAUGCCCAUGGGAGUGUGUCCCCGGUGGGCAUCAUCCAUCAUCUGGGUCAUGGCAGAAAAGAGAUUGAGAACCUUCCAUCUCCUAGCUUCAGGAAAGACCCAGUGAAUCCAUUACAUUCGAAAGAACAUUGAUCUUUGUGCCAUCCUCCAGAGAGAAAUCUCCAACCCUAUCUGGUGUCAAACAACCCUUGAGAAAGCGCACAGUUUGGAGAAGAAGUCUAUGCUGCAUCGCUGGAGCGUCGGCCCGGAAGUCGGGGCACCUGCGGUUCCAGGUCGGGCACCACCACCCACGAUCUGGGAGACCCUGUGCAGGAGAAAAUGAACUGGAUCAUGGAAGAGAGAGCAACUUUUGAUAAAGGCGUAAAGAGCAGCCCUGGGCACAGCUGGUAAGAAGCCAGCCAGCAAGGAAGAACAUUCCACGCAAAGGACACAGGUUAGGCAACUCCAGACGAUAGUACCAAGGAACCCACACCAUGUAGCAGAAAAAGCAUCAAGUUCUACGUUCAAGCUUUGUCACUCAUGCUGGUCCAGAGGUACCCACGUGCUCAUCCAUAACGUGGAGGCAACGAUAAUAAUUAAUAGAACUGCUGUGCAAGUCAAAUGAGAUAUAUAAAGCCCCUGGCAUGAGGUGGGAACUCUCUAAAGGGUGAAUAUUGUUAUUUUAUCAUCCUUAACACAGCUCAUUGUCAAAGCUCUCUCUGUAAGAAUGAUGAUGAGCCACUCCGGCCCCCCAAGAAAUCACCUGAGAGAGUUUCUGUCCGUGUAAAUCUUACAAGUACCCCUUAAUGAGUUUCGCUGUUUUGCUUAAAGGACUUAUCUCCUUGUCCAAGGUGUGUUGACAUUUAAAGGGGUUUUGAAAGUGGUGAGGUCCAUUCCACUUAAAGGCUGGCUUUAGCUUACAUUUCUGCUCUUGGUAGCCACAGUGGUCAUCCACUGCAAGGUUCCAAGCUCUUUUCAUACCGGUUGUCCUUCUUUCGGUGCUUUUAUUUCCUUGCUUAUCCAAUCUGCAGUUUCUACACAAUUUUCCCGCGUUCCUUCCCCUCUGCCUCAAAUCAAACAAUGGCUGGGCUUGGGGAUCAGAGGGAGAGAAAGUUGUUCUUGCAAGAACGCCUCCUUGUUUCAAGGGACUUAUCUUAUGUUACGAAGCCAAAAAAGAAACAGUCUGAAGAAAGCUGGAUCUGCUAAAGAGGCAAAACUAAUCACUAAUCUCUACUUCACUUAUUCCUUGUGUUUCCCUUUGUGCUUAGUAUUGCAUAAUGGGGAUGGUAGCUCUCCUCCUUUUAAAACCUGAGAAUGUCACUUCUUCCACCUCGUGAGAAACGAGUUUUGAACAACACCAGUGCCUUUAUCCCAGAGAGGCUGGUUCGUGACACCGUGUCUACCACCUUUUAGAGGAGAAGCUUCUUGCUUUCCACUGUGUUUCAGGUAAUUUUAGAAAACAAGACUACUGCCUUGCAACAUGCCAGGUAAACAGCAGUUUCCGUUUCAAGGGGAAAUCAUACUUGACCAUCUUGCCUCCUUGAUUCCACUAGAUUAGGAAACAAGCAGAGAUAAACACAGCUUUCGUGGAGUUGGUUGUACGCUAAGGAAAGGAACAACUGGGCCUUUUAAGAUAAAUGGAACUGACAAAGAGUGCAUUCUGCAAAAAAUAAACACAGCUAUAGGAGAGUUACUCUGAACACCGAUAUCUGCAAAUGAUAGUUAAGUAAUUUUGAUGCAACGGUCUUUUUCUCAAGAUUUGAAAUAAAAUCUUUCCCCCUGCCCCCCCCCAAACCAUUUAACUAAGCUUUUCGUCGUCUGAUAAAAAUCAUGUUGUCAGAAAUGACAGAACUAAUUUGUGACUUUUUCUCAAAUCAAUUUUGAUGUAAUGCAAGAUUAAAUGAAUAGCUUCCCUUUUCUCCCCUACAUGAAUUAGAACAAAUUGUACUGUUCACUGUGUCCUGUCACACAGACUGGCUUGACAGAAACCUCCGGAUUUUAUUGCAAGAUUUGGAGAAUAAUUAUUAGAGAUCCAUUUUCCCUCAGUGUUUGUUGGGUUUGCAAAGGAUAACUGAUGAGUUCUCAUUGUAGGAUGAGAACGUCUGACAUGACGUUUGGGACGGCUUUACGGUCUAGUCUAGAACUCUCGGACCUUCUCAGGAUCCUCCCAUUUUUGCUUCGACUGUAUUACCUGGGGUGAUAAGAACUCAAGUCUCCCAGUUAAUGUCCCUUCCACUCAGUGGUGAAAUUGGAGAGGGGAAAAUCACGCAAGCCAUCCUUCUGGUGAUUUGUACUCGCGGCAAUUCACACUUACAGCCCUCUGCCAAUUACACCCGUGUUGUAACUUCUGACACUUACACGGGGUGUUUCUCACAUGAACAUAUGUUGUUCUCCCCUUUGGAGGAAAUGAAUCCCAACCUUUUGCACACUAGCAGGCCACGAUUCGUUCUAAUCCCAAGGUUUUAUGACAGGAAAAUUGACUAUAAGAAAACAAGGGAAUUGACCAUAAGGACACUGAGUUCGUUUUCUCUGGGGCAUCAGAUCACUGCCCCAAAAUUUCUUUCAAUGCGCUGGUCAAAACGUCCUCAAGGAAAUCAUCUUGAAAUCCAUCAAACAAAUAAACCUGCUCCUUAGAGUUGUUUUGCUUCAGUAUAACAUUUGGCAGGAAAAUGUGGUCAAGGAGAGUGCAUCAUAUUAAAUGGAUUUUAUGUUUAUUGACUACUUGUAGCACCACUUAAUUGAUUUAUGCAUGCUUUAGAAAGCUUUAUGCUCUGGAACAUAUAAUAUAUCAUUUAUAGUUUUUUAUUAAGUCCUGCAUUUGGUAAAAGUUGGCAUAAGGCCCUAGGUCAGGAACUUUACCCUUUGGUUAUAGCACUGUUUCUAUGAGAAAAUAAUGUUUGAUGCACUUUAUUUCCACUUAUGGUAAGUCUCCUAGUAAUCUAACCCACAUGUAAAUGCCGCUUGUACUCCCAAGUGCUACUCACUGUCAUAUUCCCACUGUGUUUGAAGGAAGUUUUUCUAUGUUCUUUUGUGACUCUGAGUUGAAAUAACAAAUGAGAGAAAAUAGUAGAAAAUAAAGUAUGUCUUAAGACCUAA